UACGUAGGGGCUAGCGUUAUCCGGAAUUACUGGGCGUAAAGGGUGCGUAGGUGGUUUCUUAAGUCAGAGGUGAAAGGCUACGGCUCAACCGUAGUAAGCCUUUGAAACUGGGAAACUUGAGUGCAGGAGAGGAGAAUGGAAUUCCUAGUGUAGCGGUGAAAUGCGUAGAGAUUAGGAAGAACACCAGUGGCGAAGGCGAUUCUCUGGACUGUAACUGACGCUGAGGCUCGAAAGCGUGGGGAGCAAACAGGAUUAGAUACCCGGGUAGUCCCUGAGCGGG
rnacentral:rRNA from 1 species